GUAGAUAUAAGUUUUUCUUCAUCGAUUAUCCAAUGCAACAGCACAAUAAUCAAUUGAUGAUCGGUUUUACAGGGGUGCAAACAAUCAACUGAGAACAAUAAGCUAUUUGUUUUUAAUUCAUUGUUGUUAGUUUUAGACUCGCGCUCCGGAACCAAUGUUCGUAGCGUCUGCGGCAUCACUACGACAGAAUUCGUUGACGGACUGUAAACAAACCAACGUGUGUGUCAGGAGCCCCCUCAUGCUGAUUGGAAAGGCCUGUAGAUUUGGGGGACGUGUCAGGUCUGGUGUUGUCAGUCUCUUUACUGCUCCCAGCAACAUGGCCAAGAGCAAGUUUGAGUAUGUGCGCAACUUUGAAACAGAUGACACGUGUCUACGAAACUGCUACAUCGUUGUGAGACUGGACGGGCGCAACUUCCACAAGUUUGCAGAGCAGCACGAGUUUACCAAGCCCAAUGACGACAGAGCCUUGGGCCUGAUGAGCCGGAGUGCACGCUCUGUCAUGGAAGAGCUCGAGGAUAUCGUCAUCGCUUAUGGUCAAAGUGACGAGUUCAGCUUUGUUUUCAAGAGGACCUCCACCUGGUUUAAAAGGCGAGCCAGUAAGCUCAUGACCCAUGUGGCCUCGCAGUUCUCCUCCUCAUAUGUGUUUUACUGGAAGGAGUUUUUUGGGGAACAGCCCCUCUUGUACCCCCCAGGCUUUGAUGGACGUGUGGUCCUGUAUCCUAGCAACCACAACCUCAGAGACUACCUCAGCUGGAGGCAAGCAGAUUGUCACAUCAAUAAUUUGUACAACACAGUGUUUUGGACUUUAGUACAAAAGGGGGGGCUCACCACAGCCCAGGCAGAGGAUCGCUUAAAGGGAACAUUAGCUGCAGACAAAAAUGAGAUCCUGUUCUCUGAGUUUCAUAUCAACUACAACACUGAACCUGCCGUCCACAGGAAAGGCACUACUCUCAUCUGGGAAAAGCGAGAUGAAACUGUCCUCAAACGCAUGAAGCUCCCGAACGAAGAGGAGAAGGACGUGGCCGUGACUCGCAGCAGGAGGAGGGUGCAGGCCCACCACUGUGACAUUAUCGGAGAGCAGUUCUGGGAGGAACACCCAGACGUCCUGGAGGACGACAACUGCUAACAACAGGAGAAAACCACUGAACGGAGUCUGGCCAGCCAUACAAGCAGUGGACUGACGAUAGAACAGCUUGUUUUUAUAGUAAGUAAGCAUAUCUGAGAUAGUAAAGCAGAAACCAAUACCUUGGCAGUAGACCUAGUUAAAAAGCUUCUCUACUUUAUGUGAGGAGUCGACAGCAUUUUGGAUCUGUCACAGAGGCCAGCUUGUUUUAAUAAGAUCUCUAUAAUGAGUUAUGAACAAUUAAACACUGCACUUCAAUUAAGUAAGAUGUACAAAAACACGUUAUGAUUGCAGAGGUUGCUCUUUUCGUAAGACAUAAUCUGUGCCCUUAGAUCAGUUCACUUGGACCAUUGCCGACACAUCAAUGACUCAACAUAUGGCCUUAUAGUAUAGGUGGUUGCUUAGUAACCAGAACGCGUUGAGGCAAGUGAUGUAGUUAUUUAAAGACAGCUCAGGUAGUUAUCAAACUUUUAGCUAAAAGAUACAAAAACAUGCCCUAAUCUGGAUGCAAAAGUAACAUUUUCAUCCUUACGUAAAUUGCUCUUUAAUACAAAUGCAUAUUUAGGUUUGAAAAGGUCAAUAAUCUGAAGUGGAUUUCAUGGAUCUGGCAGUGUUUCCCUCUCCACUCUACUGCAUGAUAAUGUUACAGUUCAUCGACAAAACUGUUAAGAGUAUACAGUAUGCUUCAAAUACACAACAAACGUCAAAGUAUCUCAUCUUGCAUUAUUGAAUAUUUCUGGCCUCUUUUUCCGUUUGUCAUUUUUUUUUACAUUUUUGGGUGUUUUUGUGGCUUUGUUUUAGAACACGCUAACUUACUGUAACCCUAACCCUGACCCACUCUAACCCUAACCCUAACCCAGCAGCUGGUUGUCCAAGUGAACUCCAGUUUGCUCCAAACUCUGGUAAGAGUACUUUUAAAAUAAACUACACAUGUGACUCAU